rnacentral:rRNA from 1 species
UCGAGAAUCUUCGGCAAUGGGCGCAAGCCUGACCGAGCGACGCCGCGUGUGCGAUGAAGGCCUUCGGGUUGUAAAGCACUGUCGAGGGGGAUCAAAGCGCAAGCUUGAGAGAUCCCUGGAGGAAGCACGGGCUAAGUUCGUGCCAGCAGCCGCGGUAAGACGAACCGUGCGAACGUUGUUCGGAAUCACUGGGCUUAAAGGGCGCGUAGGCGGUCGGGCAAGUCCGGGGUGAAAUCCUGCAGCUUAACUGUAGAAGUGCCUUGGAUACUGCCCGGCUCGAGGGAGGUAGGGGUCUGUGGAACUUCUGGUGGAGCGGUGAAAUGCGUUGAUAUCAGAAGGAACGCCGGUGGCGAAAGCGACAGACUGGACCUUUUCUAACGCUGAGGCGCGAAAGCUAGGGGAGCAAACGGGAUUAGAUACCCCGGUAGUCCUAGCCCUAAACGUUGAGCACUAGAUUGCAGACUAGUCAUGGGUUUGCAGUCGAAGCAAAAGUGUUAAGU